rnacentral:rRNA from 1 species
UACGGGGGGAGCAAGCGUUGUUCGGAUUUACUGGGCGUAAAGGGCGCGUAGGCGGCGCAACAAGUCACUUGUGAAAUCUCCGGGCUUAACCCGGAGCGGCCAAGUGAUACUGUCGUGCUAGAGUGCGGAAGGGGCUACUGGAAUUCUCGGUGUAGCGGUGAAAUGCGUAGAUAUCGAGAGGAACACCUGCGGCGAAGGCGGCUUCCUGGACCGACACUGACGCUGAGGCGCGAAAGCUAGGGGAGCAAACGGG